rnacentral:rRNA from 1 species
AACGAACGCUGGCGGAAUGCUUUACACAUGCAAGUCGAACGGCAGCACGGGGGCAACCCUGGUGGCGAGUGGCGAACGGGUGAGUAAUACAUCGGAACGUGCCCAGUCGUGGGGGAUAACGUAGCGAAAGUUACGCUAAUACCGCAUACGAUCUACGGAUGAAAGCGGGGGACCGUAAGGCCUCGCGCGAUUGGAGCGGCCGAUGUCAGAUUAGGUAGUUGGUGAGGUAAAGGCUCACCAAGCCGACGAUCUGUAGCUGGUCUGAGAGGACGACCAGCCACACUGGGACUGAGACACGGCCCAGACUCCUACGGGAGGCAGCAGUGGGGAAUUUUGGACAAUGGGCGCAAGCCUGAUCCAGCCAUUCCGCGUGCAGGACGAAGGCCUUCGGGUUGUAAACUGCUUUUGUACGGAACGAAAAGGCUCUGGUUAAUACCUGGGGCUCAUGACGGUACCGUAAGAAUAAGCACCGGCUAACUACGUGCCAGCCGCCGCGGUAA